rnacentral:rRNA from 1 species
UAGAGUUUGAUCCUGGCUCAGGAUGAACGCUGGCGGCGUGCUUAAGACAUGCAAGUCGAACGGAGAAUUUGUAGCAAUACGAAUUCUUAGUGGCGAAUGGGUGAGUAACACGUAGGUGACCUACCCUGAAGUGUGGAAUAACAGUCCGAAAGGAUUGCUAAUACCGCAUGUGGUCCCGGGCGUUUGAGAACCGGGUCUAAAGCAGAAAUGCGCUUCAGGAGGGGCCUGCGGUCCAUCAGCUAGUUGGUGAGGUAAUGGCUCACCAAGGCGACGACGGAUAGGGGACCUGAGAGGGUGGCCCCCCACAUUGGCACUGACACACGGGCCAAACUCCUACGGGAGGCAGCAGUCGGGAAUAUUGGGCAAUGGGCGAAAGCCUGACCCAGCAACGCCGCGUGCGCGAUGAAGGCCUUCGGGUUGUAAAGCGCUUUUCAGAGGGAUGAGGAAGGACAGUACCUCUGGAAUAAGUCACGGCUAACUACGUGCCAGCAGCCCCGGUCA